UUAUUCAGUAUGUUGAAGUGAACAUACUGUCAGUUCGGGAGAUAAGUCAGAUAACAGACUCUGAGCUUGAAUAUAUUGCUUUAGUACAUUUCGGAGACAACAGUGAGUUUGAUUAUAUAGGAGAUAUGUUGGAUCCACCCGAGACAGAUAAGCAAGACCACCGUGCAGAGAACAUUCUCAAUGAAACCGAAGAAAUGCUUCUUGCAGCAACACAAGACAGUUUUUCACAAGCACCUUCACCCAGCUGUUUCAUUCGUGAGACAUUGUCCAGUAGCCUUAUUCAGUACCCCGAAGUACAGGCCAGGGGAUCUGAAGCCGG